CAGCAGCCGCGGUAACACCGAGGGUGCGAGCGUUAAUCGGAUUUACUGGGCGUAAAGCGUGCGUAGGCGGCUUUUUAAGUCGGAUGUGAAAUCCCCGAGCUUAACUUGGGAAUUGCAUUCGAUACUGGGAAGCUAGAGUAUGGGAGAGGAUGGUAGAAUUCCAGGUGUAGCGGUGAAAUGCGUAGAGAUUUGGAGGAAUACCGAUGGCGAAGGCAGCCAUCUGGCCUAAUACUGACGCUGAGGCACGAAAGCAUGGGGAGCAAACAGGAUUAGAUACCCCCGUAGUCCCUGUCUCUUAUCA
rnacentral:rRNA from 1 species